ensembl:lncRNA
CUGGCCAUAGUUCUUUAAUAGGAAUUUCCUUUGAAAAGUUCUUUUCUUUUUACUUUCUGCUUUUCCUAAAUGCCUGGGUAGCUUCAUCAUUUUGAUUCUUGCUCAGAUUUCAUGGAAACUGGUGGCAGCCUACCUAAAUUUCUAGGAAAGUUGCAAGCGUAUGGAAAAAUCUUUCUUCGAUUCUUAAAAUAAAAAAGAGAACUUUGUCAAUAUUUCCAGGGAUCAGAGAUAAAGGGCAUUAUAACUGGCAAGGGUGAGCUGGCUAUAGAUAGAGGUCCAGGGUGAUUGCUGUGAUUAUAUUUGGGGUAGUUAUCCCUUUAGAGGUUUGCUGCCAUGAAGAGCCAGGUGUGGGAGAGUCCUUGAAGAGGUAAAGCAGCUCUGAGCAGACCUGGGGCACCAAGAUCUGGCUUACUCAAUUUCUAUUCUGAGCAAGGGAUGGUGUCACUUUAAAUACUGUGUUCUUGUUGCUAAGGAAACCAGAUAAGUGGGUUGCCAACACAAUCUUCCACCUUUCUGUGAAGAUUAAAGCACCUUGCUCCAGCUAGAGAGCAGAUGGGAGAAUCAUGGGUGUGAGGCACAUUUCUCAUUACCCAGGGGAGGGUUAGGCCAGGUGAUGGAUGAAGUGAGACAGUUCCUGGGUCAUGGGAAGGAGAUAAAAUUUGUAGCUACUGGCUAUUUUAACAAAGUGUAACUAUUUGCUGAAUCAAUCAAGAGAGGGGUUUAAUCCUGACUUUUAGUUCCAUUUCUACCACUAAUUUUGUUUGUCAAUGUAUUGAAGGCAGAUUUAGUGCAAAGUCUGUGGAGUCAGUCACAGAAUAGAAAAUGGUUACAUUUUAGUUAGUCUGUUCCUUUUGGUUAUUUUUAUCAAAUAUCUCAAGCAUAUAAAAAAAGUAUAAAGACUAAUAUACUACAUUCUAAUGUACUGAUCAUAUAGCUUAAAAAUGAAACAUCAUAGAUACACCAGAAGUUGCCUGUGCAUUCUUGCCUCCUUCCCGCUUAAUCUCAUAGAAAUGUCUCCCAUACUUGUCAGCUCCCUAUAUGUAGGAAACGUUAGUUACUAAACCUAUCAUAUGUCUUGAGUUAUAAGCAACAGAGGACCAUUAAUUACAGAAUAAUUCUGGGAGCCCCCUACUCUGGGGCAAGGCUUUUCUCUUUGAGAUUCAGGUUAGUUUUUCUUCCAAUUACAGACUGUGGACAAAUGUGGGGAAAGAGGAGUGGGCAGGAGACUCAGAGAGGAGUGGCAGCAGAGCCCUGCGGCGUCGCAAACACUCAAUUUCCUUCCUUCAGCCUUCUUUCACCCAUUAACCCAACGAAGCUUUACUGAGCGUCUAUGCAGUGACAACCUCUGUGCUAGGCACAGAGGGUAAGCAGAAAUGAAAACAGUCCAAACUCCCUGUCUGCACAGAGCUUAGCAAGGGAGGAGAUAUAGGAUGAAUAAAAUAUAGAUGUAAGAGCUAGUUAAGUACAAAGGGGGGGGGGGAGAGCAGAUUUGGGGAAUAAAAUGACGGGUGUUACAUUUUAGAUAAGGUAGUCCCUAACUCCCCCAGGCCUUGCUGUAAAGGCGCACUUGGGCAAAGACCCAAAGGAGGUGUGGGGGUGGGGUGAACAGACUAUCCAACAGAGGGAACACACAGUGCAAAGGCCUUGAGGCAGUGGCAUGCUUGGCAUGUUCCAGACCUAGCAAGGAGGGCAGCAGAGUGAGCAAGGGUAGGCGGGAAGCUAUGGUAGAAGGUGAAGUCAGAGGAGGUCUCUGUGACUACCUUAAUUACCAUGGCCCAUUCUGGGUACCAGGCCACUCUGAGGGUUUUGGGAGCCUUUGGCUAUGGUGGCCUUAGGAAAGUGUCCAGCCCUGGUCCAACUCAAGACUACACUUGGCCUCGAUGUCUCCCAAAGGAGGACCCAAGAACCAGAGAAUCAAGGGAUUUGUCUGAUGUUCCAGAGGGAGCUCAGCAUGAGAAACGUGAGCCCAGGCGUACCAUGUCCCUGUAUUGACAAAGCAGCUGGGCCUGUUUUCUGAUGAUGCUCCUCCCAGGCAAACUUCAUUUACAAAAACAGGCUACUGGCUGAUUUGGCCCACAGGCUAAAGUUUGCUGACCCUCUUACCUAAAAGAUCAUGAAAUAGUUUUAAUAGUACAUCUUAAGUAUGAGGGAACAAGUAAACACUAAAUAAAGAAUUGAAUUAUUUUUCUUGGCCACCAUUGCAUUUGAAUAUUUGUGUAGGAACACAGAUCUUUCUUAUCUUCCCAAUUACAAACGUUACAGCAUUUCCUGGAAUUUGCCUCAUAAGAUGGGUUUUAGGAAGGGAAAGCAAGGAAAAAAGAAUGACAAGAGAUAAUGGCAUCUAAUAUUUCUCCUAUAAUUAAGAAAUCAUUAAUUUUCAAACUUUUCUCUCAUUUCUCUUUAACCAGAUCUAAGACACAAAAUUAACUGCUUAAAUUUCAAUCCAUUAUUGCAUUCUCAAGCUGAGGGUUUGCAAAGCAAUGAAAAUGCUCCCACUCUGGCAAACAAAGAAGCAGAUACCUGGGGAAACGGCACAUCUAAGUUGGUACCAUUUUUACUCACAUCCCUCUUUCCCUAAUAGAUAAGCGUGCAAGCAACACUGCCUCAAAUCAGAGUCUCACCACUGGAAGGCUGUGGUUAUUAUCUGUUCCCUCUGGGUAAUUGAAGGCCAUGACCAAGUCUGAUGCUUCUGAGACAAAGCAUUCAUUCCUUCCAGAGAAACCUGUACUACCCUAGGCCCCAAUC